GCUUCUUGUUCUUGCGGACCUGCAGGCCCGCACGUGUGGCCAUCUCAAAGACCUCCCGCACGCCCUCCUUGGUCUUGGCCGAGCACUCGAGGUAGCCGAAGGCAUUGAUCCUGUUGGCCAUGUCUCUCCCCUCUUCUGGCUUCACAGGCUCCUGCUUCAUCUUUGCCAGUUCCCGCCGUGUGUGCUCAUCGUUGCGCAGGUC
rnacentral:lncRNA from 1 species